GACGAACGCUGGCGGCGUGCUUAACACAUGCAAGUCGAACGGAAAGGCCCUGCUUUUGUGGGGUGCUCGAGUGGCGAACGGGUGAGUAACACGUGAGUAACCUGCCCUUGACUUUGGGAUAACUUCAGGAAACUGGGGCUAAUACCGGAUAGGAGCUCCUGCUGCAUGGUGGGGGUUGGAAAGUUUCGGCGGUUGGGGAUGGACUCGCGGCUUAUCAGCUUGUUGGUGGGGUAGUGGCUUACCAAGGCUUUGACGGGUAGCCGGCCUGAGAGGGUGACCGGCAACAUUGGGACUGAGAUACGGACAAGAAUCCGACGAGAGGCAGCAGUGGGGAAUAUUGCACAAUGGGCGGAAGCCUGAUGCAGCAACGCCGCGUGCGGGAUGACGGCCUUCGGGUUGUAAACCGCUUUCGCCUGUGACGAAGCGUGAGCGACGGUAAUGGGUAAAGAAGCACCGGCUAACUACGUG
rnacentral:rRNA from 1 species